CCUACGGGAGGCAGCAGUGGGGAAUAUUGGACAAUGGGCGAAAGCCUGAUCCAGCCAUGCCGCGUGUGUGAAGAAGGCCUUCGGGUUGUAAAGCACUUUCAGUGGGGAAGAAAGCCUUGGGGCUAAUACCCUCGAGGAAGGACAUCACCCACAGAAGAAGCACCGGCUAACUCCGUGCCAGCAGCCGCGGUAAUACGGAGGGUGCGAGCGUUAAUCGGAAUUACUGGGCGUAAAGCGCGCGUAGGCGGUCUGAUAAGCCGGUUGUGAAAGCCCCGGGCUCAACCUGGGAACGGCAUCCGGAACUGUCAGGCUUGAGUGCAGGAGAGGAAGGUAGAAUUCCCGGUGUAGCGGUGAAAUGCGUAGAGAUCGGGAGGAAUACCAGUGGCGAAGGCGGCCUUCUGGACUGACACUGACGCUGAGGUGCGAAAGCGUGGGUAGCAAACAGGACUAGAUACCCCAGUAGUC
rnacentral:rRNA from 1 species